CCUACGGGAGACAGCAGUGAGGAAUAUUGGUCAAUGGGCGCGAGCCUGAACCAGCCAAGUAGCGUGAAGGAUGACUGCCCUACGGGUUGUAAACUCCUUUUAUAAAGGAAUAAAGUCAGGCACGUGUGCCUUUUUGUAUGUACUUUAUGAAUAAGGAUCGGCGAACCCCGUGCCAGCAGCCGCGGUAAUACGGAGGGUCCGAGCGUUAUCCGGAUUUAUUUGGUUUAAAGGGAGCGUAGAUGGGUUGUUAAGUCAGUUGUGAAAGUUUGCGGCUCAACCGUAAAAUUGCAAUUGAUACUGGCAGUCUUGAGUACAGUUGAGGUAGGCGGAAUUCGUGGUGAAGCGGU
rnacentral:rRNA from 1 species